CGGAGUCAGACGGGCAAACAGAGGUUCUGGACCGAAAUGAGCGACACCAGCCUCUUCCUCACGAAACAGGUGCUUGGGGGAGACAACUGUCGCUUGUCGCGCACAAUGCUGCACCGAAACGGAGGGAAGUCGCAGGGAGAGAUCGGGAGCAGGGGCUGUGAUCGCCCGGGCUGGGCAAGGGGCAGGACAGGGAGAGGGGCUCUGCGGUCGGACAGCCGGUGAUUUACAAGUCAGAAGACAGUGCCUGUCAGGUCUGGCCGUGUUGUCUUAAGGUCUGGCCCAGGCGGACACGCUGUCCGCGGCCUGGCGCGCUCACAUGGGCCCCAGAUGUGGCUGGAUUCCCAGGCACGUUCCUCAUGUUCUCGGAAACCCGCUCCUCUAACCCCUUCCUCCCCGGAACAGCCAGUGCUCUCCUUUAAAGAUCCACGCACACGCACAAAACCGGCCCUGCUGAGGGCCGCCCGCUGGCACGACUCUCUCAGGGCUCCAGCGUCCUGAGAGGUCUGUCUGUGUGGAGUUUACAUGUCCUCUGCACAUACAUGUGGGUUUUUGGCACUCGCUCCAGCUCAUUCCUGUCUGUCGGAGCCACGCGGGUGAGCCGUGAUUCUACGUGGAGCAGCAGAGGUUCAAGGGGAUU
rnacentral:lncRNA from 1 species